rnacentral:rRNA from 1 species
GAGUUUGAUCAUGGCUCAGAACGUACGCUGGCGGCACGCCUAACACAUGCAAGUCGAACGCAGUAGCAAUACUGAGUGGCAAACGGGUGAGUAUAAUGUGGGAAUCUGCCUUUUGGUUUGGAAUAACACGGGGAAACUUGUGCUAAUACCGGAUAAGCCCUUACGGGGAAAGUUUUAACGCCGAAAGAUGAGCCUGCACUUGAUUAGCUAGUUGGUAAGGUAAAGGCUUACCAAGGCUACGAUCAAUAGCUGUUCUUAGAGGAAGACCAGCCACAUUGGGACUGAGACACGGCCCAGACUCCUACGGGAGGCAGCAGUGGGGAAUCUUGCACAAUGGGGGAAACCCUGAUGCAGCGAUGCCGCGUGAGUGAAGAAGGCCCUUGGGUUGUAAAACUCUUUCGUCGGGGAAGAAAAUGACUGUACCCGAAUAAGAAGGUCCGGCUAACUUCGUGCCAGCAGCCGCGGUAAUACGAAGGGACCUAGCGUAGUUCGGAAUUACUGGGCUUAAAGAGCUCGUAGGUGGUUAAAAAAGUUGAUGGUGAAAUCCCAAGGCUCAACCUUGGAACUGCCAUCAAAACUUUUUAGCUAGAGUGUGAUAGAGGUAAGUGGAAUUUCUAGUGUAGAGGUGAAAUUCGUAGAUAUUAGAAAGAACACCAAAUGCGAAGGCAACUUACUGGGUCACUACUGACACUGAGGAGCGAAAGCAUGGGUAGCGAAGAGGAUUAGAUACCCUCGUAGUCCAUGCCGUAAACGAUGUGUGCUAGACGUUGGAAAUAUAUUUUUCAGUGUCGCAGCGGAAGCAUUAAGCACACCGCCUGGGGAGUACGACCGCAAGGUUAAAACUCAAAUGAAUUGACGGGGACCCGCACAAGCAGUGGAGCAUGUGGUUUAAUUCGAAGAUACGCGCAGAACCUUACCAACACUUGACAUGUUCGUCGCGAGACUAAAGGGAUUAGUCUUUUUCAGUUCGGGCUGGAC